CAGAGGUUACUGCUAUCGAAGRYUCGACUAAGCCAUGCGAGUUGAAUGUUCUUCGUGAACAUGGCGGACUGCUCAGUAACACGUGGACAACCUACCCUUGGGUCCGGCAUAAUCCUGGGAAACUGGGAAUAAUUCCGGAUAGGUCACCGAUGCUGGAAUGCGCGGUGGCCGAAAGCUCCGGCGCCCGAGGAUGGGUCUGCGGCCUAUCAGGGUUGUAGUGGGUGUAACGUACCUACUAGCCUACGACGGGUACGGGUUGUGAGAGCAAGAGCCCGGAGAUGGAUUCUGAGACACGAAUCCAGGCCCUACGGGGUGCAGCAGGCGCGAAAACUUUACAAUGCGGGAAACCGUGAUAAGGGGAUCUCGAGUGCCAGCAUAUAAUGUUGGCUGUCCAGAUGCCUAAAAAGCAUCUGUUAGCAAGGGCCGGGCAAGACCGGUGCCAGCCGCCGCGGUAACACCGGCGGCCCGAGUGGUAACCGCUAUUAUUGGGUCUAAAGGGUCUGUAGCCGGCCAGGUAAGUCCCUUGGGAAAUCUGGCAGCUCAACUGUCAGGCUGCUAGGGGAUACUGUUUGGCUUGGGACCGGGAGAGGUGAGAGGUACCUUGGGGGUAGGGGUGAAAUCUUGUGAUCCUCGAGGGACCACCAGUGGCGAAGGCGUCUCACCAGAACGGGUCCGACGGUAAGGGACGAAAGCUAGGGGCACGAACCGGAUUAGAUACCCGGGUAGUCCUAGCCGUAAACGAUGCUCGCUAGGUGUCAGUCACGGUGCGACCGUGAUUGGUGCCGUAGGGAAGCCGUGAAGCGAGCCACCUGGGAAGUAUGGCCGCAAGGCUGAAACUUAAAGGAAUUGGCGGGGSAGCACUACAGWCGGGUGGAGCCUGCGGUUUAUUG
rnacentral:rRNA from 1 species